CGUAUGUGGUGGCAUUCAGCAUUGAUUGAUGACGAUAGGUUUCUUGGCACAACACCUGUUAAAUACGUUUAAUUAUGCUUGGCAAAUUACACGACACCAGAAGAUCUUACGUUUGGCAUUGGUAUUGGUUGUUUAGAGCAAAAGAGAAAACAACUGUAAAUUAAGAACAAAAUAAAUUUCAAAUAAAAUUGGUUACUAACAAAGGGAUCAAGCCACGACUCGCCCAUAUGGAGACACAACCACGAAAGGUGGUUAGGUGACUACUGGAAUUGCGAUCAAAGUAAUGCUUGGCUCCUUGGUGAUAGUGGAUAGUUAGAGCUGUAGUUAGUGACGUUGCACAGAAGACCAGUCAAUGCAAUUAAAGAGAAAUAUAGUGAUAUUCACUGUAAGGCAAGUAGCGUCAUUGAAAAGUGCAUUAGUUUAAAUAAAGCUUAGUACUACUUACUGCCAUUAUUAUUCAAAAGUCUAUAUUCAGCAUUUUUAUUUUUCAGGGUCGCUGGCGCAUUUUGAUGGAGAAGCGCAAAAGUAAAAUGCCAGAAAAAUGAUAAGAUUCGCAAAAGUUUGUUCGCUUGUAGUAUUUGCGUACAUUAUAAAGUACAUUUGGAAAGCAAAGGUUUUGAUUUUUCAUCGUCCGGAUAUGUGGACUUUAAUUAAGUGCAGAUAUAUACUCCAGGGGAUUAUUGUUCUAAGCUGAAAAUUACUUGAAAAUUUACUAUAUUAUCCAAGAUAAAAAUUAAGGUUAACAUUAAUUUACUUUUAUUGAUUCUGAAUUAUAUCCAAUACUGAAAGAUAUUAAAAAUGGUAUACUUUUCUCUAGGUAAAUUCCAUCGGAUGUUGGUAAGUUCUUAUUAUUAAUUUUAUUCCAUGCACUCGUUUCAUAUGGCUUCUCAAGUGAACACUCAGGGAACACUAAAUCUUUUGUGGCAUAUUGCAUUCUGUAUAUACUUUUCAUAUAUCUUUGAAGAGGUCGACACUUAAAUUGAAUGCUAGGGUACAAAAUGUAUAUACAUUGCUUGUGGAUAGUAUUGAUACAUAUAUUGCAUGAGUUUUGGUAUUAGAUUAGAUAAUUUAUUUUUACAACCUCAUAAUCUGGAGAGAGGGGAAAAUACUGUUACUACCAAAGAGACGCGUCGCAUAAUGCCAGACGACUUCUAAUAUUCUGCAAAGGGCCGGAUUUAUUAGUUUCUGGAGAUAAACCCAAGAAUGUUGGUUCUUCUAAUAUAUUGCGAUCUCCUCAUUCAAAUUUUUUUAUUAUUCACGAACUUAAUUUGCCUUCAGGCAAUUCUUCUUGCAGUUCUUGUCCGGCUUUUCAUUGUAUGAAAUUUUUUAAACACUCUGGAUAUGGAUACUUCAAAUUACUAUUCGCAAUCUUUGAUUUUUUAUAAGAAUCAUAGAAAAACUUUAAAUCCUCAAAAUAGCCCCAACACAUAGAAGAGACCCCUGCAUCAUCUAGUUCUAAAAGAUCAGUCUUAAAAUAACAUAAUUUAUAAUAUGUAUAUGUAUCAAAUACCUAUUUAAUACACUUACCUUUCUGUAAAUAUUUCCAUUUAUUCUACGAUCGUUAGAUUUAAGUGGUUCUCUCAGACCGGCUUCGUCGCUUUUUUUACUUUGCAAUCAUACAAAUCUACGCCUCCUUUU